CUUAUAGAUUGUGGUUCUGGGAAUCGGAGUUGUGCUUUCAACUGCUAAUCGAUACGCAUGGCUUCAUCCCAACAUGAUCAGGUUUCUCGGUUAUUUGAAAUUUUUCUCGCCUAUGGAGGAUCCUAAUGUCAAGCUGGUUAUACUGAAGGAAUUUAUUUUCUGACACACCCCCUCAAGUUGGAGAGUGCAUGUCUUCCAUCUUCAUCAGCUUGAGACUGGAUGUCUUCCAUCUUCAUCUUGCCUGGUAACUUCUGAAAAACCUUACCAUGUAGUGCCUUGGUAAGUAUAUCUGCAACUUGAUCUCCAGUGGACACAUAGGGAGUACAAAUUAGUUCCCUAUCGAGUUUAUCCUUUAUGAAAUGUCUAUCCAUUUCAAUAUGUUUUGUUCUGUCAUGUUGAACUGGAUUAUGAGCAAUAUUAAUUGUUGAUUUAUUGUCACAGUACAACUUCAUUGAACCUUCCCACUUAAUCUUUAAAUCUUCUAAAAUAAUCUUUAGCCACAACAAUUCGUAGAUUCCAAGUGUCAAUGCUCUAAACUCAGCCUCUGCAUUGGAUCUAGCCACAACAUUUUGCUUUUUGCUUCUCCAUGUCACUAAAUUUCCUCCCAAAAUUGUACAUUACCCUGAGGUUGAUCUUCUAUCAACCACUGAUCCUGCAUAGUCAGCAUCAGUAUAAGCUUCUAAUGUCAAAUUUCUUUCUUUUUUAAACAAAAUUCCCCUGCCAAGUGUACCCUUCAAAUACUGCAUAAUUUGAUUCACAACCCUUAGGUGUGUUUCUUUAGGAUUGUGCAUAAAUUGGCUCACAACUCCAACAUCAUAGGCAAUGUCUGAUCUGGUAUGUGAUAGGUAAAUUAGCCUCCCCACAAGCCUCUGGUAUGAGCUUCUGCCAAUUGUUGCAUCCUCCAUUGUAUCCCUAAGCUUGUGGUUCACUUCUAUUGGUGUUUCUGCUAGUUUGAACCCCUGUUUUCCAGUCUCUUCUGACAAGUCUAGAGUGUAUUUCUGUUGAGAUAUGAAGAUCCCUUGAUGUGAAUGUGCCACUUCAAUACCUAGGAAGUAUUUCAAUCUCCCUAGAUCUUUGACUUCAAACUCUUUCACCAAACACUUUUUUAGAUCAUCAACCCCUGUGACUAUACUGUCAUCUACAUACACCAAUAUGGAAGUAACUGCCCAUUUACCAUAAUGUUUCACAAACAAAGUGUGAUCACCCUAACUUUGUUUGUAGCCUAUCUUCAACAUCACUUUAGUAAAUCUUCCAAAUCAUGCCAUUGGAGACUGUUUUAAUCCAUAUAAAGCCUUUUUUAACCUACACACUUUCUGCCCAACACUUGGACUAAAUCUAGGUGGGAUGUUCAUAUACACUUCUUCCUCGAGUUCUCAAUGUAAGAAGGUGUUACUGUUGUAAUUCCCAUCCUUGGUUUACAACUAACGACAGUAAAAUUCUCACAAUAUUCAUCUUUGCAACAGGGGCAAACUUUUCGAGAUAAUAUAUCCCGUAUGUUUGAGAAUACCCCUUAGCCACCAACCUUGCCUUGUACCUCUCUAACGAUAUAUCUGACUUGUAUUUUACUGUAAACACCCACCUGCAUCCUAUUGUUUUCUUCCCUUCUAGCAGUUUCACCAAGUCCCAUGUCUUGUUCUUCUCUAAUGCUUCCAUCUCAACCUACAUGGCAUUCUUCUAAUUCUCAUUUUCUAAUGCCUUGGACACGGUUUUAGGAAUGAUGAUGGUGUUUAGGCUUGUAAGGAAGGCUUGGUGAUUGCGAGACAAAUUUCUGUAAGACAAAAAUAGGUAACGACGGUUUUUUAUGGUCCAAGUCCUUUUUCCUUUUCUAAUUGCAAUAAGAAAAUCAAAAUCCCUGUGAUCAGAGGCAGGAUUAGAAAUUUCAGCGUUAUUUGAAUCAAAGAUAGAUUCAGCAGUUACCUCGGUUUGUAUAGGAGAAGAAGAGGAUGAUUUAGCCUGCACUGGUGCCUUUCUUCUUGAGUAAACCAGCUGAGGACAAGUAGUGUCAUGAAUUUUUGACUGAGGAGUAAUAGGUUCAGGUUGUUAGGUGGUAGGUUGGUCAAAACAGAAGGUUAUUGGAUUAGCUGUUGGGAAGAAACAAGAGGUUGUUGGAUUGGGGAAUAAACAAGAGGUUGUUGGAUUGGGGAAGAAAUAAAAGAGGUUGUUGUUGCUCAGGAAAGUUAAUGAGAGGCUGAAGAAGGAAAUAAUCACUGUCAUUAUCUUAUCUGAAUGAAAUCUCCCCCUGAAUAUAGGGAUAAGUAUAAUAAUCUUCCUUUUUUGAAAAAGUGACGUCAGACGAAAUAAAAUGUCUCCUUGUAGAUGGAUGAUAGCACUUGUACCCCUUUUGAGUGGAAGAGUAGCCAAUAAAAACACAUUUUAAUGCCCUUGGAUCAAGCUUCUUCCUAUUUUGAGAGUGUAUAUGAACAAAUGCAACACAACCAAAUAUUUUAGCUUUAAGGUUAAGUGAGGGGCUGAAGUUUGGAAAUAAAUUGUUUAAGAUUUGGAUAGGACUUUGGGAUUCAAGGACUUCAGUGGGUAGUCUGUUUAUCAUAUAGGUGGCAGUCAAUACAGCUUCUCCCUAAUAUUGUUUAGGUACAUUUUUUUUAAAUAAGAGGGCUCUUGUAAUGGCAAGAACAUAAUCAUUUUUCCUUUCUGCUACUCCGUUUUGGUGGGGGUUUUUUCUAGGGAGCCUGACAGUUUUCUCAAUUUCUUUAUUUCCUCUUUGUUGAACUCCACAGGCUGUUCUUGAGAGUCGUCAACCAAUUGUUUUGUUGUAUAUGCUCCUCCUUGAUCCCUUAAUGAUCCCUCCUUUUUUGGCAUAUUUUAACCUACUGGUUGUAGCUUUCCAUGAAGUUUUCAACACUUAUCCUUUGUGUGGCGAGGUUUCUUGCAGUAGGUACACCAUAGAGAGUCUCUGUUUACUGCUUUUGUUAUCUCUUUUGUACCUUGUUGUUCCAGACCCGCUUUUCUCUCAGUUACAACUUUAGUGAUCGGGCUGAACUCUCCUCUUGGUUGCUUUAAAUCAUAACUCCUCUCCUUUGCUCAGCUCGAAUGAUCGUAAUAGUCUCAUUCAGUGAUGGCAGGUCUUCUUUUCCAAGAAUCUGUACCCUUACUACAUCAAACUCAACGUUUAGUCCAGUAAGAAAAUUGUAAAUUCUUUCUUUUUCAACAAACCUCUUUAUGGAAGUUGCAUCUUCGCUACAAUUCAUCUGAAUACACUGGUAGUAGUCCAUUUCUUGCCAAAGAUUCUGCAUUAGGUUAGAAUAUUCUAUGAUUCUUAGAAGUUGACAAGUUGAUCCUUACAUUUCCAAAGUUAGAUGUCCAUCAUAGUGGGUGGUUGGAGAAUAGGUUUACCGAGGAAGAGAUAUUUCAUGUUCUCGAGAAUUCAGAUGGAAACCGCGCGCCUGGGCCUGACGAUUUCAACUUUAAUUUCUUCAAGAAAUUCUGGCCUAAUUUGAAAUAGGGUAUUCUGAAUUUUUUCGAUCAGUUUUAUAAGUCUGGGGAGUUGGAUCCGCGUUUGAAUUUUUCCUUCAUCUCGUUGAUUCCUAAGAAAUUAAAUCCCUAAUUGUUAGACAAGUUCAAGCUGAUUAGUUUAGUCGGUGGGGUUUAUAAGAUUCUAAGUACUAGCUAGUCGUCUCCGUUCAGUUUUGGGUUCCUUGAUUAGCUCGUCUCAGUUCGCCUUCAUUCCAGGAAGGCAAAUAUUAGACUGUGCAUUAAUAGCAAAUGAAGUUGUUGAUUAUGAAAGGAACACUGGGCGUUUGGGGUUGGUUUUUAAAAAGGAUUUUCGGAAGGCGUAUGACACAGUUGACUGGGGUUUUCUCCUAAGAGUGUUGAAGGUCGGUGAGAAGUGGCGGAAAUGGAUUUGGUCGUGUAUUUCUUCGGCUUCAGUUUCAGUUCUGGUGAACAGUUGAGCGUUUUAACCUUGGUCGUGUCCAUAGACAGGGUUGUCCGCUGUCGCUUGUGUAUUUAAUCUCGUUGGGGAAGUGUUGAACCUGAUGCUUUUGAAAGUUGUAGAUGUGGGUUUGUUGUCGAGUUGUGUAAUAGGGAAAACUCCGUCCGAAAUUCAGGUGCUACACCUUCAAUACGCAGAUAACCUCAUCAUGUUCCUAGAUGCUUCGGAGACACAAAUCAAGAAUGCGAAGUGGUUCUCAGAGUCUUCGAGCUUGUUUCGGGCCUUGAAUUGAACCUAAAGAAAUGUACAAUGUUUGGAGUUAAUGUAGAUGUGGAUGUUGUGAAAGUAAGGGCAGAAUCAAUCGGGUGUUCGAUUGGAUCCUUCCCCUCUACCUAUUUGGGACUUCCUCUCGGGGCUUCGCGAAAGUCUGCUCGGCUGUGGGUACCGGUAAUUGAGAAGGUGGAAAGGAGACUUGCUGGCUGGAAAUCAAUUUUACUUUCGUUCGGCGGACGAGUCGCGUUAAUAAAAUCUGUGCUCUCUCUAACCUACCCACAUACUUCUUGUCUCUCUUUAAAAUACCUGCUUCGGUUUACAAGAAAUUAAAUGGUUUGUUUUCGAGGUUUUUAUGGGUAGGUUCUCACACAAACAGACUAUUCACUGGCUAAAGUGGACUGAGGUUUGCAAGCCAAUGGAGGCAGGUGGACUUGGCUUUGUAGACUUGACGAACAAAAAUUUGGGUUUUCUUGGUAAGUGGAGUUGGCGUUAUUGCAACGAAAAAGUAAGCCCUUGGAAACUCGUUAUUUCGGCAAAAAACAAGCCGGACCCUUUGGCCAUACUACCUCCUACCUCAGCUUCUCAUGGAGCUUCGUGGGUUUGGCGCUAUUUUAUCUCUACGUUUGCUGGGGCGAGUGAUGAAUUUCGUUUGAAGGAUUUGUUUCAUAUUCAAGUUGGGGAUGGCAAGUCAAUUAGGUUUUGGUAAGACAAGUGGCUUGGUGACCGUCCACUGCAAGAAUUGUUUCCAAGGAUAUAUGCGUUGGCGAUCAAUAAAACGUAACCAAUAUCCGACUAUGGGGUUAAGAACGAGGCAGGGUGGUGCUGGAAUAUUCCGUCAAGGAUGGGAGUUUUCUAUUGGGAGAGGGGACAGUGGGAGAAUUGAUUGUGUUGUCGGAUUGGGUGAAGUGGUUGGGUGCAGGUGACGGAGUCUAUACGGUUAGAUCAGCAUCAAAUGUACCUUGCUCAAGGGAUAGGUCCGAAUUUAAUUGGAGGAAGAACGUUUGGUUAGGCAUCGCACCCUUCAGAGUUGAAGCCUUUAUCUGGAGAGUGCUUCGACGUCGAAUCCCAGUCAGAGUUUAUCUUCAAAAGAGGCGAGUCGUAGUCCUGGAUCUUCGAUGUCCCGCUUUGCCUAGGUUCGCCAGAGUCCUUGGAACACCUCCUAUUUUCUUGCGUGGUAGUUUGGAAAGUGUAGGGCUUUUUCCCGUCUCUCUGGGGGGUUGUAACAGCUUUCCCUGAGGAGCCUAUCAACUUCCUGCAGGCUUGGUGCGAGUUUCUCCCCAUGGGAACGCCUUACAGAUUAAUCUGGAGUCUGCUACCUUUUGCGAUCAUCUGGUCUACCUGGCUUGUCAGGAACUAUAUGAUCUUCAAUCAAAAAAGUUUUGAUGGGCUUCAUCUGAUUUUCUUGAUUAAAUAUCAGAUUGCUUGCUGGAUUUGGCCAAGUUUCCUUCGGCUCCUUUCACCUUGAAGAAUCUGGCUGCCAAUCUCUUGAUUGCAAAGGAUGGCCUCCUCACUAAGAGACCUUCGAAACUUUCGCUGGCCUGGAUCCCCCCUCCUACUGGUUUUUUAACGUUUAAUAUCAAUGGGUCUAUGCAGGCUGACGGAAGCGGUGGAGGCAUUGGGGGAAUUUUAAGGGAUUCAAAUGGUAAUUCGUUGUUUUCAUUCUCGAUUCCUAUAGGGCGAGGGUCUUUGAUUCUGGCAGAAAUAUUAGCAGGGGAGCACGUGGUGAAUUGGUUUAUAUGCUCUACUUGGGUCGAUUCAUCGGGCCUUAUUCUAGAAUACGACUGUGAAUCGGUUGUGACUUGGCUUAAAAAUCCGAAUUUGAUUCCUCUCGAGGGGGAGUCCUUAGACCGGUAGCAGAGACUGUUUUUAAAAGAAAUUUCUUAAUUAAACACAUUCCUAGAAGCAGGAAUAUGGCUGCAGACUCCCUCGCGAAGCUGGCUGCUGGUGUUAUCUUUGGUUAAAUUUGAUUUUGUGUUUAGAUUGGCUGUGAUGUUCUUAGGGUGAAGCUUUGUUCUGCAUUGGGUGUUUUAGGCUGUGUUGUUCUUUGGGAGCAGCCUCUUUUUCCUCCAUAUAAGUUAGGGAGGUUUUUAACGUGAUCUCGUGCUUUGUUUUUUCUUCUUAUUACAUUAAUAAUAUGUUCUCUUUCAAAAAGAAAAAACAAAAAGAAUAUUUUGUGAUUGACUUGCUUACCUGUUUUGUGGAUGAAAUCUUAGUCUUGAUUUCAUAAAUUUGGGCAGCAUCUUUAACCUUUGAUUACAUUUGUUUUACAGCCUCCCAUAUCUCUUGAUCUGUAUUAAGGAACAUACAUAUAUCGCUAAUCUCUGGCACCAUGGAAUUCCAUAAUCAGGAAAUUACUAAUGAAUCUUGUUCAUCCCAAGAUUCGAACCUAGGAUCUCCUUCCUUAAGUCCAGUCCCAAGUAGAUGACUUAACUUGCCUCUACCUUUUAGGAACGUGCGAACAAGCUCAGACCAUUUGAGGUAAUCUUUUCCAUUCAACCUAUAAGCGGCCUGUAUAUUCUUCAAGUCACCUACAGAAUUGGAAUAACUCCCUUCACUCACAUUUCCUCCUUGGACAGUUUCAGUGUUGCUGGUGUCAGCCACUUUGACCAUCUUUUUUGUUCGGAUAACAGUACGCGCUAAAGGAAGAAUCAACUAGAGGGAAAGGGUGCAAAACGAGCUUAACAGGACCCAAACAUGAGCUUAAAAUGGCUUUGAUACCAUGUUAAAAACACAAUGAAAUUCUAUGUAAAACUCAUGUAUUUCUGCUGUAGGUAGUGUUACAUAUUUAUACAAGUAGCAGCCUUAACUUAGGAAACUCUUAAACUAGGAAAGUAGCUAAUUCUAAGGAAUACACAAAUGUGUUUGGUUCACGGAAUGUAAGAUUACUAGUGGGAAUAAAUGAUUA